GAGUUUGAUCAUGGCUCAGGAUGAACGCUAGCGGCAGGCCUAACACAUGCAAGUCGAGGGGUAACAUAGAAAAGCUUGCUUUUCUGAUGACGACCGGCGCACGGGUGCGUAACGCGUAUACAAUCUGCCUUAUACUGGGGUAUAGCCUUUAGAAAUGAAGAUUAAUCCCCCAUAGCCUCUUUUAAUGGCAUCAUUAUAAGAGUAAAGGUUACGGUAUAAGAUGAGUAUGCGUUCUAUUAGUUUGUUGGUGAGGUAACGGCUCACCAAGACUGCGAUAGAUAGGGGCCCUGAGAGGGGGAUCCCCCACACUGGUACUGAGACACGGACCAGACUCCUACGGGAGGCAGCAGUGAGGAAUAUUGGACAAUGGAGGCAACUCUGAUCCAGCCAUGCCGCGUGCAGGAAGACUGCCCUAUGGGUUGUAAACUGCUUUUAUACAGGAAGAAACCUUGGUACGUGUACCGAGCUGACGGUACUGUAAGAAUAAGGAUCGGCUAACUCCGUGCCAGCAGCCGCGGUAAUACGGAGGAUCCAAGCGUUAUCCGGAAUCAUUGGGUUUAAAGGGUCCGUAGGUGGAUAAUUAAGUCAGAGGUGAAAUCUUGCAGCUCAACUGUAAAAUUGCCUUUGAUACUGGUUAUCUUGAGUCAUUAUGAAGUAGUUAGAAUAUGUAGUGUAGCGGUGAAAUGCAUAGAUAUUACAUAGAAUACCAAUUGCGAAGGCAGAUUACUAAUAAUGUACUGACACUGAUGGACGAAAGCGUGGGUAGCGAACAGGAUUAGAUACCCUGGUAGUCCACGCCGUAAACGAUGGUUACUAGCUGUGUGGACUUCGGUCUGCGUGGCUAAGCGAAAGUGAUAAGUAACCCACCUGGGGAGUACGUUCGCAAGAAUGAAACUCAAAGGAAUUGACGGGGGCCCGCACAAGCGGUGGAGCAUGUGGUUUAAUUCGAUGAUACGCGAGGAACCUUACCAGGGCUUAAAUGUAAGUUGCAUUAGCUAGAGAUAGCUAUUUCUUCGGACCACUUACAAGGUGCUGCAUGGUUGUCGUCAGCUCGUGCCGUGAGGUGUCAGGUUAAGUCCUAUAACGAGCGCAACCCCUGUUGUUAGUUGCCAGCGAGUCAUGUCGGGAACUCUAACAAGACUGCCGGUGCAAACCGUGAGGAAGGUGGGGAUGACGUCAAAUCAUCACGGCCCUUACGUCCUGGGCUACACACGUGCUACAAUGGUCGGUACAGAAAGCAGCCACUGCGCGAGCAGGAGCGAAUCUAUAAAACCGAUCACAGUUCGGAUCGGAGUCUGCAACUCGACUCCGUGAAGCUGGAAUCGCUAGUAAUCGGAUAUCAGCCAUGAUCCGGUGAAUACGU
rnacentral:rRNA from 1 species